GCUGCUGUGCAUGCUACAGCUUCUUAGAACCACAGCUAGGUCCAGUUCUCCCCAGCCCCAAAUCACUUGUUGCAAGGACUGAGACUGGUGAAGAUUGAAUUGAGACAGCUUUGAGGUCUAGCUCCUGGGGAACCUGAAAUCAGAGGUGAAAGAAUCAGAAGUCCAAAGAUCAUUUUUUCUUAGAAGAUGGAUAUCACUGUUCAUGAAGCCAGGAUUAGAAUUCAGUUCUCCUGACAAACUGGACAAGUCUUCUUUCAUUCUACCAUGCUAUUAUUCCUGUGAUCAUUAAAGUUCUGUGCUGCUUUCCAUCAUCUGUAUACUGAAUUCGCCUUUACUUACCAUGUGCCUAAUAAAAGAUUUGAAAAU